rnacentral:rRNA from 1 species
UACAUGGGGUGCAAACGUUGCUCGGAAUUAUUGGGCGUAAAGCGCGCGUAGGCGGUUGCUCAAGUCGGAUGUGAAAGCCCUCGGCUUAACUGAGGAAGUGCACCCGAAACUGAGCAGCUAGAGUACUAACGAGGGUCGCGGAAUUCCCGGUGUAGUGGUGAAAUGCGUAGAUAUCGGGAGGAACACCAGUGGCGAAGGCGACUACCUGGCCUGUUCUUGACGCUGAGGCGCGAAAGCUGGGGGAGCAAACGGG